rnacentral:ncRNA from 2 species
GUUUUUUUAUAAGAUUUGGGUUCUGAUAGAUUAAUAGGGAAUGCAGUGAAAAUCUGCAACAGUCCCGCUGCUGUGAAUCUCUUUUAGAAUAUUAUCUUUUAUAAGCCACUGGUACUGGGCGUGUAUCGGGAAGGCAAAAGUAAUGGCAGCCGCAUAACUGCAAGAGAUGAGUCAGAAGACCUGCCCAAGUCCGAUUGUUUAA